rnacentral:misc_RNA from 1 species
AAGUCGUAACAAGGUUUCCGUAGGUGAACCUGCGGAAGGAUCAUUAACAAAUCAAUGAGUUGGUGUCUUGAUUGGGGGGAAACCCUCACAUCAGGUUCCAACAAAUAAACCCGAACCUGCGCAGCAAUGCCAGGCUAGGUGUGGGGAGUCUGGUAAAAAGGACUGCCUGCGGUGACGGAUCGGACUCUUCACGGGGUCUAGUCUCGAUCCACAUAGACGCUUUUUUUGUUUGACAGUAUCAGUUGACACUAUAAAAAAUGACAACUUUUAACAAUGGAUCUCUUGGCUCUU